rnacentral:rRNA from 1 species
GAUGAACGCUGGCGGCGUGCCUAAUACAUGCAAGUCGAGCGAACAGACGAGGAGCUUGCUCCUCUGACGUUAGCGGCGGACGGGUGAGUAACACGUGGAUAACCUACCCAUAAGACUGGGAUAACUUCGGGAAACCGGAGCUAAUACCGGAUAAUAUAUUGAACCGCAUGGUUCAAUAGUGAAAGACGGUUUUGCUGUCACUUAUAGAUGGAUCCGCGCCGCAUUAGCUAGUUGGUAAGGUAACGGCUUACCAAGGCAACGAUGCGUAGCCGACCUGAGAGGGUGAUCGGCCACACUGGAACUGAGACACGGUCCAGACUCCUACGGGAGGCAGCAGUAGGGAAUCUUCCGCAAUGGGCGAAAGCCUGACGGAGCAACGCCGCGUGAGUGAUGAAGGUCUUCGGAUCGUAAAACUCUGUUAUUAGGGAAGAACAAAUGUGUAAGUAACUAUGCACGUCUUGACGGUACCUAAUCAGAAAGCCACGGCUAACUACGUG